UACGUAUGGGGCGAGCGUUGUUCGGAAUUAUUGGGCGUAAAGGGCGUGUAGGCGGGAUGUUAAGUCGAGUGUGAAAGCUGUGGGCUCAACCCAUGAACUGCGCUCGAUACUGGUGUCCUAGAGUAAGGGAGAGGAGAGUGGAAUUCUCGGUGUAGCGGUGAAAUGCCUAGAUAUCGGGAAGAACACCGGUGGCGAAGGCGACUCUCUGGCCCAUUACUGACGCUAAUGCGCGAAAGCUAGGGGAGCGAACGGG
rnacentral:rRNA from 1 species